GAUGAACGCUGGCGGCGUGCCUAAUACAUGCCAGUCGAGCGAACGGACGAGAAGCUUGCUUCUCUGAUGUUAGCGGCGGACGGGUGAGUAACACGUGGAUAACCUACCUAUAAGACUGGGAUAACUUCGGGAAACCGUAGCUAAUACCGGAUAAUAUUUUGAACCGCAUGGUUCAAAAGUGAAAGGCGGUCUUGCUGUCACUUAUAGAUGGAUCCGCGCUGCAUUAGCUAGUUGGUAAGGUAACGGCUUACCAAGGCAACGAUGCAUAGCCGACCUGAGAGGGUGAUCGGCCACACUGGAACUGAGACACGGUCCAGACUCCUACGGGAGGCAGCAGUAGGGAAUCUUCCGCAAUGGGCGAAAGCCUGACGGAGCAACGCCGCGUGAGUGAUGAAGGUCUUCGGAUCGUAAAACUCUGUUAUUAGGGAAGAACAUAUGUGUAAGUAACUGUGCACAUCUUGACGGUACCUAAUCAGAAAGCCACGGCUAACUACGUG
rnacentral:rRNA from 1 species